UGGGGAAUAUUGGACAAUGGGGGCAACCCUGAUCCAGCCAUGCCGCGUGAGUGAUGAAGGCCUUCGGGUUGUAAAGCUCUUUUGGCGGGGACGAUGAUGACGGUACCCGCAGAAUAAGCCCCGGCUAACUUCGUGCCAGCAGCCGCGGUAAGACGAAGGGGGCUAGCGUUGUUCGGAAUUACUGGGCGUAAAGCGAGUGUAGGCGGUUGCCGUAGUCAGGUGUGAAAGCCUUGAGCUCAACUCAAGAAAUGCACUUGAUACUGGGUGACUAGAGGACCGGAGAGGAUAGUGGAAUUCCCAGUGUAGUGGUGAAAUACGUAGAGAUUGGGGAGAACACCAGUGGCGAAGGCGGCUAUCUGGACGGUUACUGACGCUAAGACUCGAAAGCGUGGGGAGCAAACAGGAUUAGAUACCCUGGUAGUCCACGCCGUAAACGAUGGGUGCUAGACGUUGGCGAGCUUGCUCGUCAGUGUCGCAGCUAACGCGUUAAGCACCCCGCCUGGGGAGUACGGCCGCAAGGUUGAAACUC
rnacentral:rRNA from 1 species